rnacentral:lncRNA from 1 species
UCUGCUGACUCAAUCACAACAUUGUGACAGACAGCUGCAUUGCCUGGUUACUGAUGUAAAACUGGAGAGGGAGAGCUCUCAUCCUCAGAUCAAAGCAGCAUCUGCCAGAGUCAGAUGUUGCUGGCCAGGCUCAAAGGAAAUAGAUUCCCACAAGGGGUCUAAGGAAAGGUGAGGAUGCUUACAGAACAGUAAGGUGGCAGAGCCUCCCAACAUUGAAAGAGCAAAGAUGUCUCAAAUGCCAUUAAAAGAGGAGGAAGAUGAAGAUCAUCGAACUAAAAAGCACAGAAAAGCCACUGAGCAGAAUUCUCACAGUUCCUGCAUUCCGGAGGUUUAUCUGCACGGUACGCUUCAGUUCAUUGACUGACUUGCUUCUGGAAGAGUUUCCCAACAGGAAUAAGUCAGAGGAACUUUGUUACUGAAAACAUCACCAUCUGGCAUUUUUGCCUUCAGAACACUGAAGCAAGGUCAAAAUUUCUAUAACAGUGUCACCCACAGGGUAGAAAUGAAUACAAGCAAUAACUGGAAAAAGAAAUGUGAUUGUCCAGCACAAAGGACAAGAUUUUGAAAGCAGGUUGCUAUCAUGGAGUGUGUGGUGCUCGGCAUUGAACUUGAGUACUCAUCUGAAGUGAAGGACUGGGAUGAAGCCAACCUNNNNNNNNNNNNNNNNNUCUUUCCCUUAUCUCAAGUAGCUUCUGAAAAUAAAUAGUGGGGCAGGGGACUCAACCAGGCAGUCUGCCCGUCGGAGGGCAAGACGGAGACACACUGGAAGGCAGAAUAGGCGCUAACCAAACCAAGCAUGAAAUAGCACUGCCCCUCAGACGCCUGUUCCUUUCAGCUGCACAGCAGUUCAGCUCAAUAAAUGAAUCCUCACAAGGGUAUUAAAUAAAGCACGAGAGGUUGUGCUACUUAUAUU